rnacentral:rRNA from 1 species
UACGGGGGGAGCAAGCGUUGUUCGGAUUUACUGGGCGUAAAGGGCGCGUAGGCGGCCGUGCAAGUCAGUUGUGAAAUCUCCGGGCUUAACUCGGAACGGUCAACUGAUACUGCUCGGCUAGAGUGCGGAAGGGGCAACUGGAAUUCUUGGUGUAGCGGUGAAAUGCGUAGAUAUCAAGAGGAACACCUGCGGCGAAGGCGGGUUGCUGGGCCGACACUGACGCUGAGGCGCGAAAGCCAGGGGAGCGAACGGG